rnacentral:rRNA from 1 species
UUCGGAGAUACACGAGUGGCGCACGGGUGAGUAACGCGUAUGCAACCUACCUUUAACUGGAGGAUAGCCCCGAGAAAUCGGGAUUAAUACUUCAUAACACUAUGAAACGACAUCGUUUUAUAUUUAAAGCUCCGGCGGUUAAAGAUGGGCAUGCGUGACAUUAGAUUGUUGGUGAGGUAACGGCUCACCAAGUCCACGAUGUCUAGGGGUUCUGAGAGGAUUAUCCCCCACACUGGUACUGAGACACGGACCAGACUCC